ACCUAGCCCUGAUCGCAGCAUUUGUUUGAGCUCAUUUUAGAGUUUUUCGGCUCGGCGGCAAAGCCGCCGAGCCGAAAAACUCUAAAAUAGCGAGUGCAGAGAGCAAGAAAUUGC
rnacentral:misc_RNA from 1 species